rnacentral:rRNA from 1 species
UUCCGGUUGAUCCUGCCGGACCCGACUGCUAUCAGAGUGGGACUAAGCCAUGCGUGUCAACAUAGCAAUAUGUGGCAUACGGCUCAGUAACACGUAGUCAACAUGCCCAGGGGACGUGGAUAACCUCGGGAAACUGAGGAUAAACCGCGAUAAGUCACUACUUCUGGAAUGGGUAAUGACUCAAAUCUACAUGGCCCCUGGAUUGGACUGCGGCCGAUCAGGCUGUUGGUGAGGUAAUGGCCCACCAAACCUGUAACCGGUACGGGCUCUGAGAGGAGGAGCCCGGAGAUGGGCACUGAGACAAGGGCCCAGGCCCUAUGGGGCGCAGCAGGCGCGAAACCUCUGCAAUAGGCGAAAGCCUGACAGGGUUACUCUGAGUGAUUUCCGUUAAGGAGAUCUUUUGGCACCUCUAAAAAUGGUGCAGAAUAAGGGGUGGGCAAGUCUGGUGUCAGCCGCCGCGGUAAUACCAGCACCCCGAGUGGUCGGGACGUUUAUUGGGCCUAAAGCAUCCGUAGCCGGUUCUACAAGUCUUCCGUUAAAUCCACCUGCUUAACAGAUGGGCUGCGGAAGAUACUAUAGAGCUAGGAGGCGGGAGAGGCAAGCGGUACUCGAUGGGUAGGGGUAAAAUCCGUUGAUCCAUUGAAGACCACCAGUGGCGAAGGCGGCUUGCCAGAACGCGCUCGACGGUGAGGGAUGAAAGCUGGGGGAGCAAACCGGAUUAGAUACCCGGGUAGUCCCAGCUGUAAACGAUGCAGACUCGGUGAUGAGUUGGCUUAUUGCUAACUCAGUGCCGCAGGGAAGCCGUUAAGUUUGCCGCCUGGGGAGUACGGUCGCAAGACUGAAACUUAAAGGAAUUGGCGGGGGAGCA